rnacentral:misc_RNA from 1 species
UUGCAACAGCUGCGAGCUCAGUCGGAGUCAACUGGGGCCGCGUCGCCAACAACCUCCCGUCACCGGACAAGGUGGUGCAACUCCUUAAAUCUCAGUCCAUCACCCAAAUCAAGCUCUACGACGCCAACCCCGCCGUCCUCCGCGCCCUCGCCAACACCAACAUCAAAGUCGUCGUCGCCCUCCCCAACGAGCAGCUCACCGCCGCCGCCUCCCGCCCCAACUUCGCCCUCGCAUGGGUCCAGCGCAAUGUCGCCGCCUUCUUCCCCGCCACCCGGAUCAGCGCCAUCGCCGUUGGAAACGAGGUAUUCGCAGACCCCCGCAACCUCACCGCCUUCCUCGUCCCCGCCAUGCAGAACGUACAUGCAGCCCUCGCACGUCUGAAGCUCGACGCCGCUGUCAAGGUCUCGUCACCGGUGGCCCUCACAGCCCUCUCCAUCUCCUACCCGUCCUCAGCCGGCGCGUUCCGCGCCGAUCUCGCCGAGCCGGUAAUGAAGCCCAUGCUCGAUCUCCUCCGCCGCUCCGGUUCCUACCUCAUGGUGAACGCCUACCCCUACUUCGCUUACGAGGGGAACGCUGAUGUCAUCUCUUUAGAUUAUGCUCUGUUCCGG